rnacentral:ncRNA from 1 species
AAUUGUGGAAGGAUUUGGCUGAUUGCAACCACGGGAAAAAAUUGCUAAAAC